rnacentral:rRNA from 1 species
UUUUUUCCUCAAAUCAAGUAGGACUACCCGCUGAACUUAAGCAUAUCAAUAAGCGGAGAAAAAA